ACCCCAGAUCUGGACCCCAUAGUCAAGCCCUUGCUCCCAACCUGACUAUAAACCAUGACAGAGAACACACCAUGCUGAAUUCAGAAAGAAGCCGAAAGACAUCGAAGGUUUUAACUCUGAAACGCUCAGCAGAAAAUACAGCUGAGGAGCAUCAUCAAGUUAAAGCUGCACCUAUGUGUUUCCUCAGACUGGCGAGCAACAACACAGUUUGAUCUACAAGGUCAAAGCCCUCGGGGCUGAAGAGCACAACACUGGAUCAGAGGGGCCUCCAGUCAGUGUCUGCUUUUUCUGUGGACCACUGUGUCAUGGUAGGUAAGUCACAGCGUUCUCCAAAGCCUCGGAGACGUGUUCUGGAGACACCGGGCCUUCAUACAGUUACCAGGAAUGUCUGACCAGCGAAUCCAAAUGCUGUGAGCCACACCACCAGUAUCAUUGCUGGUGAGACUACUAGCUCCCGAAGAGUGGGACCCUGCUUUCAUUCAGUCAAUACACAACAGUUCUUGCUGAGGGGUAGGUGCUGGGGAUGUGGAGGGAGUAAAUUGCUCUAUUAGAGAGUUGACAGUCUAUGAUCUAGAGGAAGUCACACAUAAAGUAGCGUAAAAAUAAAUACACCAUUUCAGCAAUCCUUGGCACUAAGAUGGAAGGCGGACUAGGGUGAGGAACAGAGGCAUGGUUUUUAUGGCUUGGACACCAAAGAAGCUUCCUUAAGCAGAGAGAAGGCGCAGAAAGAAGCUGUUGAAAGUCUGGGAAAAAAAAAAAAGCUUGUUUCAGGAAA